rnacentral:rRNA from 1 species
CAGUAGCCGCGGUAACACAGAGGGUGCAAGCGUUAAUCGGAUUUACUGGGCGUAAAGGGCGCGUAGGUGGUUAUGUAAGUGAGAUGUGAAAUCCCCGGGCCCAACCUGGGAACUGCAUCUUAUACUGCGUAGCUGGAGUGCAGUAGAGGGUAGUGGAAUUUCCGGUGUAGCGGUGAAAUGCGUAGAUAUCGGAAGGAACACCAGUGGCGAAGGCGGCUACCUGGACUGACACUGACACUGAGGCGCGAAAGCGUGGGGAGCAAACAGGAUUAGAUACCCGUGUAGUCCCUGUCUCUUAUAC